GAACUGAGGUAUGAUGCUGUGUUUAAUGAAGGGACAGCUGGUUUGAGUACAUUGAACAUCCCUGUGUGUCUACUGGAGGACGUCAGUGCCUCCAAUCCAUGUUCAACAGGAUGGACGUUGUCCAACAGAUAUUGCUAUCUUUACUCAAAUUAUAAAGUGUCCUCAUAUGCAGAUACUCUGAAAAACUGUAAACAGGGAAUAAGUGACAUCUUGACGAUACACUCUGAUGUAGAACAUCAGUCUGUAAUUAACUUGGUGAAGUCUGUCAGCGGACUGAGAUCAACUGUUCUCUUGGGCAAG